CUUUUCACUCUCUGUGCUGAUGCAUUGCUAAAGCUCUAGCAGCUACCUCAGAGCAGGCUUUAGACCCAUGAGCUGACUCAAGGGGCCAAACCGAUCUCUCAUCUCUUUUUUAUAGAUGAUUAUCCAUCGAUGGGCCAAGUGUCAAUCCAAAAUGCUUCCACUUUCAGAAGGAUCUUAAAGGAGUACCAUGGUGCUUCAGGACAGAAGGUAAAUCUAUUCCAGUUAGCUUUGUAUUUUAGUCCGAAGACCUAGGUUUAGUUAUGAUA
rnacentral:lncRNA from 1 species